AACUCCUGUCAUUAUACUGUGUUUUUUUCUUUCUUUCUCUAGAACUAUAAUUUGCCCCUCCUGUGACUCACCCCCAUCUCUCCAUGGGAUCCAGAAGCUGAGCUGGUGACGAGAUCUCCGCUCCAUGGCAUGGUGACCUGAAGAGGAAGCGCAACAAGUGUAAUCACGGUUUGUCAAUCAGAAAAUAACACCAAACCACAGUUUGCAGAAACCAAUCUGGAUGUCCUGACUAACCAUAGUUAAGAUGCUAGAAUGUUUACAGCAUCAAUUAAGCAAAAGCAGCCAGCUACCAUUUCUGAAGCAGUUCCAUUGCCGAGCUCUGAUUCA